rnacentral:rRNA from 1 species
UACGUAGGGUGCGAGCGUUGCCCGGAAUUAUUGGGCGUAAAGAGCUCGUAGGCGGUUUGUCGCGUCUGCUGUGAAAUCCCGAGGCUCAACCUCGGGCCUGCAGUGGGUACGGGCAGACUGGAGUGCGGUAGGGGAGAUCGGAAUUCCUGGUGUGCGGUGAAAUGCGCAGAUAUCAGGAGGAACACCGGUGGCGAAGGCGGAUCUCUGGGCCGUAACUGGACGCUGGAGGAGCGGAA